rnacentral:rRNA from 1 species
GACGAACGCUGGCGGCGUGCUUAACACAUGCAAGUCGAACGAUGAAGCCUAGCUUGCUAGGUGGAUUAGUGGCGAACGGGUGAGUAAUACGUGAGUGACCUACCUUUGACUCUGGGAUAAGCCUGGGAAACUGGGUCUAAUACCGGAUACGACCAAUCUCCGCAUGGGGUGUUGGUGGAAAGCGUUAUGGAGUGGUUUUAGAUGGGCUCACGGCCUAUCAGCUUGUUGGUGAGGUAAUGGCUUACCAAGGCGACGACGGGUAGCCGGCCCGAGAGGGUGACCGGCCACACUGGGACUGAGACACGGCCCAGACUCCUACGGGAGGCAGCAGUGGGGAAUAUUGCACAAUGGGCGCAAGCCUGAUGCAGCGACGCCGCGUGAGGGAUGACGGCCUUCGUGUUGUAAACCUCUGUUAGCAUCGAAGAAGCGAAAGUGACGGUAGGUGCAAAGAAAGCGCCGGCUAACUACGCGC